rnacentral:miRNA from 1 species
AAAAAACCGAGUGGACUUUUUG